rnacentral:rRNA from 1 species
GACGAACGCUGGCGGCGUGCUUAACACAUGCAAGUCGAACGGAAAGGCCCUGCUUUUGUGGGGUGCUCGAGUGGCGAACGGGUGAGUAACACGUGAGUAACCUGCCCUUGACUUUGGGAUAACUUCAGGAAACUGGGGCUAAUACCGGAUAGGAGCUCCUGCUGCAUGGUGGGGGUUGGAAAGUUUCGGCGGUUGGUGAUGGACUCGCGGCUUAUCAGCUUGUUGGUGGGGUAGUGGCUUACCAAGGCUUUGACGGGUAGCCGGCCUGAGAGGGUGACCGGCCACAUUGGGACUGAGAUACGGCCCAGACUCCUACGGGAGGCAGCAGUGGGGAAUAUUGCACAAUGGGCGGAAGCCUGAUGCAGCAACGCCGCGUGCGGGAUGACGGCCUUCGGGUUGUAUACCGCUUUCGCCUGUGACGAAGCGUGAGUGACGGUAAUGGGUAAAGAAGCACCGGCUAACUACGUG